UCGGGUUUUGGCGGCAGGUGAUCCCGCUCCGUUUCCCCACAUACUCCACUCCGGGUUUUGGCGGCAGGUGAUCCCGCUCCGUUUCCCCACAGGAUCCAGUCCGGGUUUUGGGGGCCGGUGAUCCCGCUCCGUUUCCCCGGAUACUCCAGUCCGGGUUUAGCUGCCGAUCUCUUCCAUGCUGGGUAUUGUCCGUCGGUCCCGGCCGAUCUCCGCUCCCGAUCCCGAUCCCGGUACCAGUCCCGAUCCGCGCUCUCAGCGCUUUCCUCUGGACUGGACUGGGCCAGGCGCUGGGGCUCGGCCCGCGGGCCCAGUGAGGCCGCGAGGAUGGCGGAGCCCCGACUGCGGUUCGUGCUGGCCCUGGCGGCACUGAGCACGGCCACCGGCACAGAAUCUAUGAGCC